AGAGUUUGAUCCUGGCUCAGGAUGAACGCUGGCGGCGUGCCUAAUACAUGCAAGUCGAGCGAACGGACGAGAAGCUUGCUUCUCUGAUGUUAGCGGCGGACGGGUGAGUAACACGUGGAUAACCUACCUAUAAGACUGGGAUAACUUCGGGAAACCGGAGCUAAUACCGGAUAAUAUUUUGAACCGCAUGGUUCAAAAGUGAAAGACGGUCUUGCUGUCACUUAUAGAUGGAUCCGCGCUGCAUUAGCUAGUUGGUAAGGUAACGGCUUACCAAGGCAACGAUGCAUAGCCGACCUGAGAGGGUGAUCGGCCACACUGGAACUGAGACACGGUCCAGACUCCUACGGGAGGCAGCAGUAGGGAAUCUUCCGCAAUGGGCGAAAGCCUGACGGAGCAACGCCGCGUGAGUGAUGAAGGUCUUCGGAUCGUAAAACUCUGUUAUUAGGGAAGAACAUAUGUGUAAGUAACUGUGCACAUCUUGACGGUACCUAAUCAGAAAGCCACGGCUAACUACGUGCCAGCAGCCGCGGUAAUACGUAGGUGGCAAGCGUUAUCCGGAAUUAUUGGGCGUAAAGCGCGCGUAGGCGGUUUUUUAAGUCUGAUGUGAAAGCCCACGGCUCAACCGUGGAGGGUCAUUGGAAACUGGAAAACUUGAGUGCAGAAGAGGAAAGUGGAAUUCCAUGUGUAGCGGUGAAAUGCGCAGAGAUAUGGAGGAACACCAGUGGCGAAGGCGACUUUCUGGUCUGUAACUGACGCUGAUGUGCGAAAGCGUGGGGAUCAAACAGGAUUAGAUACCCUGGUAGUCCACGCCGUAAACGAUGAGUGCUAAGUGUUAGGGGGUUUCCGCCCCUUAGUGCUGCAGCUAACGCAUUAAGCACUCCGCCUGGGGAGUACGACCGCAAGGUUGAAACUCAAAGGAAUUGACGGGGACCCGCACAAGCGGUGGAGCAUGUGGUUUAAUUCGAAGCAACGCGAAGAACCUUA
rnacentral:rRNA from 1 species